rnacentral:rRNA from 1 species
GACGAACGCUGGCGGCGUGCUUAACACAUGCAAGUCGAACGGAAAGGCCCUGCUUUUGUGGGGUGCUCGAGUGGCGAACGGGUGAGUAACACGUGAGUAACCUGCCCUUGACUUUGGGAUAACUUCAGGAAACUGGGGCUAAUACCGGAUAGGAGCUCCUGCUGCAUGGUGGGGGUUGGAAAGUUUCGGCGGUUGGGGAUGGACUCGCGGCUUAUCAGCUUGUUGGUGGGGUAGUGGCUUACCAAGGCUUUGACGGGUAGCCGGCCUGAGAGGGUGACCGGCCACCUGGGGACUGAGAUACGGCCCAGACGCCUACGGGAGGCAGCAGUGGGGAGUAUUGCACAAGGGGCGGAAGCCUGAUGCAGCAACGCCGCGUGCGGGAUGACGGCCUUCGGGUUGUAAACCGCUUUCGCCUGUGACGAAGCGUGAGUGACGGUAAUGGGUAAAGAAGCACCGGCUAACUACGUG